UACAGAGGGGGGCAAGCGUUGUUCGGAAUUACUGGGCGUAAAGGGCGCGUAGGCGGCCUGCUAAGUCGAACGUGAAAUCCCUCGGCUCAACCGGGGAACUGCGUCUGAGACUGGAAGGCUUGAAUCCGGGAGAGGGAUGUGGAAUUCCAGGUGUAGCGGUGAAAUGCGUAGAUAUCUGGAGGAACACCGGUGGCGAAGGCGGGUCUCUGGGCCGUAACUGACGCUGAGGAGCGAAAGCAUGGGGAGCGACAGG
rnacentral:rRNA from 1 species